UUUACUUUGGCUGUGUAACAUACUGAAGUUAUACAGAGAUUAGCAUGACUCAUGCACAAAGGUGAUAUGCAAAUUCAUGAAGCGUUCCUUAUUUUA
ensembl:snRNA LOC120097967 U6 spliceosomal RNA